rnacentral:lncRNA from 1 species
UUGAAUUGAAUGGCUUUAUUGGAUAUAAAUGCAAGUUAUAAACAGAACAUGUAAAAAAAAAACAAUAUAAUAAGUACAUAUAAAGUAGGAUUACUUAAAAAAACAAAAGAUAAUGCAUAUUAGCGUGUACAUCAAAAACAAGACGUGUGUUUAUUCUUCCAUCAGUUGCGACCUCAGGCAUAUGUGAUGACUGCAUACUCAGAGUUGGUGCUCAUCUUACGGCUGACCUCUCUGGGCUGGGGGACAUGCAGUCUGUCAGCUGAACGUGAGGCCUGCAGGAGUCAAGUAGCUGACCUGAGUGAGCUCUGGCGUACUGACACCUCGGACAGUGAUCAUUAUGUCAGCAUAUGGAACCUCAGUGUCGCUCUCAUUAUCUGGGCCAAAGAAAUGAUUCAAUACAUCAAUAUGUCAGUCUUUGUAUUACAGAAGGUGAAUGCUGUGUCACUUAGAAAUCACGUGUGGUGCUACUGCUGAUCCAGAGAUCAUCUUACCUGGUGUAGGAAUCCUCAAAGUCACUCUUUCACUUUGUGUUGACAGUGACCCUGGUGAGUGUGAUAGGUAUGAAUGGCACGACUGCAUUUGAAGACUUCAAUUCUUGCAUUUUUAUUUUUGAUAUUUUUAAACUGUUUACCUUUUACUGGUGAAGGGACUGCGGGAGGAGGCAGUGGUGAACUGAAACAAGAACAUAUACAUAAAUUAACUAAUAAAGAACUGAAAAAAUAUUAGAUUUUUUGCACUAAUUUACCCAAAUAGUCAUUUUUAAAUUGUACUUACCCUGACCUGGACACAACAGGCUCCCCUGGGAUGUGUGACAAUAUUUUACACAAUGAUAUAGACAUAAUAUUUGUGUAUUUUCUUAUUUAGAAAUUGUUACUUUCUUACAGCAAUGUUAAUAGCGUAAUACUUUGUAAUCACCUUUAUCAGUCCAGUUCUGUCUGUUCCGGUUCAGACACAAGUAAACUGCCAAGGCUGCAAGCACCGUGGCAACAGCAACGGUAACUGUUGCUAAAACCUUAAUUCCAAUCAAUUCUCCUGUUAACACGGAAACACAAGUAUUAAUUCAGAUUGUAUUGGAUUAAAGCAGAAACUUUUGUUUUUAAGUUCCUCAUACAGAUUUACUUAAUUA